UUGUAGCGCAAUGGAUAACGCACUGGACUUCUAUUAAUAAAUCCAGGGAUUGUGGGUUCGAAUCCCAUCAA
rnacentral:tRNA from 1 species